rnacentral:misc_RNA from 1 species
GAUGAAGAACGUAGCGAAAUGCGAUAAGUAGUGUGAAUUGCAGAAUUCAGUGAAUCAUCGAAUCUUUGAACGCACAUUGCGCCCCUUGGUAUUCCAUGGGGCAUGCCUGUUCGAGCGUCAUUUGUACCUUCAAGCUUUGCUUGGUGUUGGGUGUUUGUCCCGAGGGACUCGCCUUAAAGUAAUUGGCAGCCAGUGUUUGGUUUUGAAGCGCAGCACAAGUCGCGAUUCAAGGCUACACGCCCGCUUCCACAAGCCUUUUUUCACUUUUGACCUCGGAUCAGGUAGGGAUACCCGCUGAACUUAAGCAUAUCAAUAAACGGAGGA